rnacentral:misc_RNA from 1 species
GGAAGUAAAAGUCGUAACAGGUUUCCGUAGGUGAACCUGCGGAAGGAUCAUUAUUGUAUAACCGAGGUGCGAGGGCUGUCGCUGACCCGAAAGGUCGUGCACGCCCGAGUGCCCUCACACACAUCCAUCUCACCCCUAUGUGCACCACCGCGUGGGUCCCCCUUUGGCUUGUUCGGAGGGGGGCUUACGUUUUCACACAAACUUUGUAUGCAGUGUAGAAUGUAUUUUUUGUUUUUGCGAUCACGCAAUCAAUACAACUUUCAACAACGGUUCUCUUGGCUCUC